GCCGGGGUGGCUCAGUCAGUUAAGCGUCUGACUUCAGCUCAGGUCAUGGUCACCCGGUUUGUGAGUUUAAGCCUCACAUCGGGCU
rnacentral:tRNA from 1 species